AUCAGCUUCCUCCAGGCUUGGCUACCUCCGCUCCAGCUCAGGGACCAGACUCCUGUUGUUCCGGGCGAAAUGAAGACCCUGUAAUAAUGGAAAUGGAGGCACAGAGAGGUUAAGUGACUUGCCUAUAGCCACACAGCCAGUAAAUGACAGAACUGGAACAGAGACCUAGCAGGCUGGUUCCAAGGCCACUUGGCUGGUACACUCAGACACUUCAGCGGGUUGCGUGACGCACAUCUGUCUGCUUGUCUGUCUCCAUUGACAUUGAGAACUGAGUCUUGUUGCUCCUUUCUCCACCACUGUGGCACAGCAGCGGGCACCCAGUAGGUGCCCUCAAUCAAGCCGCCCUUGACAGGAGCCAGUUUGUAACCCCCUGCUUUGGGUAAGAGAGCGCAGGAGAGAAAAUGUGUUUCGUAUUAUGGCAUUUUGCAACCAUCUGUCCUACAAGAUCACAUUCAUGGUCACAACACUUCGGGGCAUGGGUUAUUAGACCCACCUGUCCAAUGAGGAACCUGAGGCCCAAGGAAGCUAAGAAAUUUGUCUAAGUCACCCAGUGAAGAGUUGGCAGAGAUGGAACCUCAUCUCAGGUCUCCUGAGUCCAAGUCCAGUGCUCACUCUACGUGUCAGAAAUGGGGCCUGGGAAGAUAUUGCUGAACCCAAACCCAGUCCAAGGGGCAUGGGGGGCCUGCCAAGUCAGGGGUCAUUAACCUUUUCCUCUCCCAUCAGGGGGAAGCUUCUGGGGAUAGAGGCUUGCUUCCCUUCCUCUCAGCCCUCAGGGUCUAACACCUCUUCAGGGCAGGAAACUCUUCCUUGUCACAAAGCGAUAGCCCUCCCUCCCCCAUUCUCCUCCUCCCCCCAGGCCGCUCCCCUCCCCAUCCCCCUCCCCCUCGAGGGUCUUGGUAAAAGCAUCCGCUUGUCAGUGUAAAUCUACAGGGUUCAGACCAGCAGCUGGAGAUGGAUGGGCAGGAAGCAGUAACAAUGGAUGAAAGACCCUCUGUGCCCAGGUGGGUGGGGGAGGGAGAGGCAGGAAACAGAAGCCUCUCUCCUACUGAGGCCUGGAGCUGCGGGCUGGCGGGAGGCCUGGGAUGCAAGGACCUGCGGGGGUUUAUUUGGAUUCCCUGAGGACCCAAGCUGGGAGCCCUUCGCAAACAUCAGACCAGCUCAUCUCCGUGGGGUGCCCGGUCCAGGAUGUGUGACAAGAAUGUCGCUUUCAUGCGUCUCUCUUGGUCCCUAGGGCCUAGCACAGGGCUGGCUGCCCAGUGGGGGCUUGUCUGUGGAAGGAAGAAAUCAAUCUGGCACUACUAAUAACUAAAGAAUUGCAGUUUUUAAAAAAGGGAUCUUUACAUCCAACACGGGGCUCAAACUUACACCACCCCCCCCCACCGAGAGAAGCUUUUCCAACACAGCCAACCAGGCGCCCCUGAUUUUCUUUUUUAAAAAUUUAAGAACACCCACGGUGAUCCCUUUCCCCUUUACAAUUUUUGCACAUGCUGUUCUUUCUGCCUGCCAUGCCCUUCCCUCUGCUUUUUGCAAGGUCAGCACCUUCUCAUCCUCUGGUUGGCAGCCCCCAAAGUUCCCCCAUGAAGAUCUGGGGCCUGCUUUGACCUCCAUCCCCUGCUAGGGUAAUCCCCAUUCCGUCGCCCCUCUAACCCAGCACCCUGUGGUCUUCCUUGGUGGCACUUACAGAAUAAAACAUCUUCUCACUUA